AUGAUCUUACUUGAACAGGAUUUGUUCUAUAGGAUUGUACUACUGUGUCCUUGAUUUCUAAAGAGACAGGAACAUACGUUUGAUUGAUGAACUGUGACCGUGUGAUCAGAGCGUGAUUAACUGCUUGGAUGAAGUCUCGUGUGUGAGACCUCAACCUUUGCUGUGGAGGAUCGUUCUCGGCCAGUUUCAUCUGACCGGGGUGGUCACACGGUGUUCUGACAGACU
rnacentral:snoRNA from 1 species